GAGUUUGAUUCUGGCUCAGGAUGAACGCUGGCGGCGUGCUUAACACAUGCAAGUCGAACGAAGCGAGAAGAAAGAAGUUUUUCGAAAUGGAUUUUUUCUUUGCUUAGUGGCGGACGGGUGCGUAACACGUAGGUAACCUGCCCUGUGCUCCGGAAUAACUCCGGGAAACCGGUGCUAAUGCCGAAUAAUAUCGCCUGUCGGCAUCGAGAGGCGAUCAAAGAAUUUUGGCACAGGAUGGGCCUGCGCCGGAUUAGCUGGUUGGUGAGGUAACGGCUCACCAAGGCGACGAUCCGUAGCCGACCUGAGAGGGUGAUCGGCCACACUGGAACUGAGACACGGUCCAGACUCCUACGGGAGGCAGCAGUGGGGAAUAUUGCACAAUGGGGGAAACCCUGAUGCAGCAACGCCGCGUGAGCGAUGAAGGCUUUCGAGUCGUAAAGCUCUGUCCUAUGGGAAGA
rnacentral:rRNA from 1 species